rnacentral:rRNA from 1 species
UGAAUACGAGACGCUAAGGCGUCGAAGUAGUGUAUGUCAUACUUCCAAGAAAAGCUUGCACUGUCAUAGAUAAAAAACGCCUGUACCAUAACCGACACAGGUGGGUAGGUAGAGUAUACUAAGGGGCGCGAGAUAACUCUCUCUAAGGAACUCGGCAAAAUAACUCCGUAACUUCGGGAGAAGGAGUGCCUUAUUAUUAAGGCUGCAAUAACAAGAUCCAAGCAACUGUUUAUCAAAAACACAGGUCUCCGCUAAGUCGUAAGACGAUGUAUGGGGGCUGACGCCUGCCCAGUGCCAGAAGGUUAAAGAAGUUGGUUAGCAUUUGCGAAGCUGAUAACUGAAGCCCUGGUGAACGGCGGCCGUAACAAUAACGGUCCUAAGGUAGCGAAAUUCCUUGUCGGGUAAGUUCCGACCCGCACGAAAGGCGUAAUGAUUUGGAUACUGUCUCGGAGAGGGGCUCGGUGAAAUAGACUUGUCUGUGAAGAUGCGGACUACCUGCACCAGGACAGAAAGACCCUAUGAAGCUUUACUGUAACUUGAAAUUGAAAUUGGACUUUAUUCGCGCAGCAUAGGUGGGAGGCGUUGAUUAUAAUCUUGUGGGAUUAUUGGAGCCAUCAGUGAGAUACCACUCUUGUAAUGUUAGAUUUCUAACUUUGAAUCAUUAUCUGGUCAAAGAACAGUUUCAGGCGGGCAGUUUGACUGGGGCGGUCGCCUCCUAAACGGUAACGGAGGCGUACAAAGGUUUCCUCUGAACGGUUAGAAAUCGUAUCUAGAGUGUAAAGGCAUAAGGAAGCUUGACUGUGAGACCUACAAGUCGAGCAGGGACGAAAGUCGGUCUUAGUGAUCUGACGGUACUGAGUGGAAAGGCCGUCACUCAACGGAUAAAAGUUACUCUAAGGAUAACAGGCUGAUCUCCCCCAAGAGUUCACAUCGACGGGGAGGUUUGGCACCUCGAUGUCGGCUCAUCGCAUCCUGGGGCGGUAGUACGUCCCAAGGGUUGGGCUGUUCGCCCAUGAAAGCGGUACGCGAGCUGGGUUCAGAACGUCGUGAGACAGUUCGGUCCAUAUCCGGUGUAGGCGUUAGAAUAUUGAGAGGAGCCUUCUUUAGUACGAGAGGACCGAGAAGGACAUACCUCUGGUGUACCAGUUAUCGUGCCAACGGUAAACGCUGGGUAGCUAUGUAUGGAGUGGAUAACCGCUGAAAGCAUCUAAGUGGGAAGCCCACCUCAAGAUAAGUAUUCUCAUC